rnacentral:rRNA from 1 species
GAUGAACGCUGGCGGCGUGCCUAAUACAUGCAAGUCGAGCGGACGGACGAGAAGCUUGCUUCUCUGAUGUUAGCGGCGGACGGGUGAGUAACACGUGGAUAACCUACCUAUAAGACUGGGAUAACUUCGGGAAACCGGAGCUAAUACCGGAUAAUAUUUUGAACCGCAUGGUUCAAAAGUGAAAGACGGUCUUGCUGUCACUUAUAGAUGGAUCCGCGCUGCAUUAGAUAGUUGGUAAGGUAACGGCUUACCAAGGCAACGAUGCAUAACCGACCUGAGAGGGUGAUCGCCCACCCUGGAACUGAGACACGGACCAGACUCCUACGAGAGGCAGCAGUAGGGAAUCUUCCGCAAUGGGCGAAAGCCUGACGGAGCAACGCCGCGUGAGUGAUGAAGGUCUUCGGAUCGUAAAACUCUGUUAUUAGGGAAGAACAGAUGUGUAAGUAACUGUGCACAUCGUGACGGUACCUAAUCAGAAAGCCACGGCUAACUACGUG